GAAUAUUAAAAAAGAGAUUAUUAAAAAAUAAUGAGUAUCCGGUCCAUGGAGCAAAAAUAUGGGCAAUACUUGUUUCAAAGGAAGAAUAGGAAUUGCCAACAGGACUAUCCGACUACUUAUGGUUGGACUGGAUAAUGCUGGAAAGACGUGUACAGCUAAAUCUAUUGUUGGAGAAACCUUAGAUAAUGUUGCUCCUACUGUAGGCUUUAAUAAAGUACAACAUAAAUAUAAGGUAACUCAAGUUUAACACAGGAGCAUUGCCCGUUGGAGAAACCUUAGAUAAUGUUGCUCCUACUGUAGGCUUUAAUAAAGUACAACAUAAAUAUAAGGGUUUCCAGAUAACUAUUUAUGAUCUGGGUGGGAGCAAAAGUUUUCGUGGAAUUUGGAAUAAAUACUAUCACGAGGUUCAUGGUUUUAUUUUUGUGAUUGAUAGUUCAGAUGCUUCCAGGAUCCAGGAGUGUAAAGAUGUUCUCAGGGAGAUGUUGAACCAUGAGCUGGUUCAAGGAAAACCUAUUCUGCUUCUCUGUAAUAAAAGUGA